CAAAAACAUCACCUCUUGAUUAACUAUAAGAGGCCCAGCCUGCCCAGUGAUUAUUUCAACGGCCGCGGUACCCUAACCGUGCGAAGGUAGCACAAUCACUUGUUCUUUAAAUAAGGACUAGUAUGAACGGCACCACGAAGACUAUACGUCUCCUUUAUGCAAUCAGUGAAACUGAUCUUCCCGUGAAGAAGCGGGAAUUUUUAUAUAAGACGAGAAGACCCCAUGAAGCUUCAAAUAAAUAUCAACUGCCACCAAACACACCACCAUAACUUGACAGAUCUGACAAUUAACUUUUGGUUGGGGUGACCGCGGAGUAAAAUAAAACCUCCACAAUGAAAGGGCCUACACCCUAAUUCAAGAACAACAACUCUAACAAUCAAAAAAUUGACAUAAAUUGACCCAAAUCUUAUUGAUCAAUGAACCAAGUUACUCUGGGGAUAACAGCGCAAUCCAUUUCAAGAGCUCCUAUCGACAAGUGGGUUUACGACCUCGAUGUUGGAUCAGGGUGUCCCAGUGGUGCAGCCACUACUAAAGGUUCGUUUGUUCAACGAUUAAAACCCUACGUGAUCUGA
rnacentral:rRNA from 1 species